UAAAGUAUAUUUUAGAGCUUGGAUUGUGAUCUCAUAUAUUUAUGAGAUCAUUAUUCAAGCUCUUAAAUAAUACUUUU
rnacentral:pre_miRNA from 1 species